GCCACCUUAGCUCAGUUGGCAGAGCAUCUCACUCGUAACGAGAAGGUCCGCAGUUCGAUUCUGCGAGGUGGCUCAA
rnacentral:tRNA from 2 species